AGAAUCAUUCCGGAACGGUUCCAUGAAUUUUAUUAUUGGAAAGAUCUAGCUCUUCGAGAUUCAUCGAGGUUCUUAAGAAACUAGGGAAACUCGUUCAAUCUUGCAAUGUGACAUCCCGAAUGAUAUAAUACUUGGGAAGCUAAUGUUGAUUGCUUCUGAUAGCAUAUGUUAUCGAUAGGCACAGUGCGCUUCAAUAAUUUGAGGUUUGGAACAUUUUUAGUUCCACAACACCGCUCAGAUUAUUUGAUGAAAGAUCGAGAAAGGACAAGUUAGAAAGUUUUGAAACUGACUGUGGAAUGGGGCCAUAAAGUUUAUUUCCACUCAAGUCGAUGUCCUCCAAUGGGGAUUUAUGCGGGAACUCAUUAAUUUGACCAGUCAACUCAUUACCACGUAGGUCCAAGUAAUGCAAUGAUGGAAGAUUUAAUAACCCUGAUGGAAUUGUCCCAUUAAGUGAAUUAUAAGAUAAGUUGAGCACGUCUAAAUUUUGGAGUUCACCUAUGGUAGAGGGGAUAGAACCAGUGAAUGCAUUACUCAACAAAAAUAAAUAAUUGAUUCGAGUUAGGUUCCCAAUCCAUUUUGGAAUGGGCCAUGAAAAUCUACAAUUAUAGAGGUUCAAGUAAUUUAAAGACUUGAGAUAGCCAAUUGAAUGAGGUAGUUCUCCAGAUAAACUCGUCCCAAAAAGAGAUAAUUGAUUCAAAGACUUGAGAUAGCCAAUUGAAUGAGGUAGUUCUCCGAAUAAACUAGUAGAAGAGAGAUCCAAGACAUUCAUGGGAAACUAGGGGGGGGGGGGGGGGGGGACAAAACUACUCAAGUUUAACCUUGGGUAAAUUACCUCUUAGAGUCUUUGUGCCUGCAGACGAGCCUUUCAACUUCGGAAGGUGAAAAAUGUUAUUCGGUAUGUACCCUUGCAAUCCGGUCCAUCUAGUUUAAGAUGCGUUAAGAAGACAAUUUGUCAAAGAAUCGGCAAAACUGAAGAUAUAUUUACACAUAAGGACAAGUUUUGUACUUGGGUAAGUUUCCAAGAGCAUUCUGAAAUGGUGUGGUUCAAGUAUAGAAUCGUCACUAAGAAGAAGAGAGAUCCGAGAGAAAUUAGUGGGACAAGAAAGAGAUUUUUGAUGGGAUUGGCCUGAAAAAUAAGAAUUAGACAAGUUGAGAUGUGUCAAAUUUGCAAAGCUUCCAAUGCGUAAGGAAUGCGAGAGGAAUUGAAGUAUGGUAAGGCUGAGAGUGAGCCGUGGAGGGGGAUGAGGGAGUGGAAGAGGCUGAUAUUCGCAUCGAAGGUGCCAUAGAGCUGGCCACAAACUAGGUCCCAAGACCGAUCACGUGACCGUCAACUUCAUCAAACAUCACCCCAUCCCACAAACUAGCAAUCAGUUGCCUCUCGUCCAUGACAUGUCUUUGGAUAUGAAGGAGAACCGUAAUCAUCACACCGUGAAGAAGCAAAUGUUUAUAGCAAACGGAUGCUUAAAUUGCAGCAAUGCAAACCUCUGGUCAGGAGGAACAAAUUGUGAGGACUAAAAAGGGGAAUGAGAAAAAGAAGAGACAGAUAUGGAUGAAGAAGCUAGAUGAUAUUGAAAAAAAUAGAAAAGGAACUGAAAUAGCCAUAUGAGUACUGUCCCCAUUCUUUCUUAUACAAAGGAAGAGAAAAUAGCAAUGGAAAAAAAAGAUGCGUUGGUUUGGGUGUUGAUACUAGUAGUCUAAUUCAUCCUUUCAUAUAUAUAGUGCUCAACUACUCCUUGAAUAGAUAAAUUCAUAUAUAAUAAAGUGGUGAACACGUUUGUUGAAGAAAUGAUACUCUUCAACAAAAUUCAUACUAAAAUAUUAGAAAAAGAAUGUGACGGUGACAUUUUUAUAAAUAAAUUUUAUUUUGAUAGGUAUUUUCAUGCAAAUUGCCCCCACGAGGAGCUUCUAUAUGCAAACCAAAAUAGUCUCAGUAAACCCCACUUUUUAAAUAAAAACUACCCAAAUUUUAAAAUUUUACUUGUCACUCAUUACAAACCCAAUAAUUUUCAAAACG
rnacentral:lncRNA from 1 species